rnacentral:rRNA from 1 species
UUUAUGGAGAGUUUGAUCCUGGCUCAGGAUGAACGCUGGCGGCGUGCCUAAUACAUGCAAGUCGAGCGAACGGACGAGAAGCUUGCUUCUCUGAUGUUAGCGGCGGACGGGUGAGUAACACGUGGAUAACCUACCUAUAAGACUGGGAUAACUUCGGGAAACCGGAGCUAAUACCGGAUAAUAUUUUGAACCGCAUGGUUCAAAAGUGAAAGACGGUCUUGCUGUCACUUAUAGAUGGAUCCGCGCUGCAUUAGCUAGUUGGUAAGGUAACGGCUUACCAAGGCAACGAUGCAUAGCCGACCUGAGAGGGUGAUCGGUCACACUGGAACUGAGACACGGUCCAGACUCCUACGGGAGGCAGCAGUAGGGAAUCUUCCGCAAUGGGCGAAAGCCUGACGGAGCAACGCCGCGUGAGUGAUGAAGGUCUUCGGAUCGUAAAACUCUGUUAUUAGGGAAGAACAUAUGUGUAAGUAACUGUGC